rnacentral:siRNA from 1 species
UAGCCAAAAUGAUAUUGUAAUCCU